rnacentral:rRNA from 1 species
CAGUCGCCGCGGUAAUACGAAGGGGGCUAGCGUUGUUCGGAUUUACUGGGCGUAAAGCGCACGUAGGCGGACUUUUAAGUCAGGGGUGAAAUCCCGGGGCUCAACCCCGGAACUGCCUUUGAUACUGGAAGUCUUGAGUAUGGUAGAGGUGAGUGGAAUUCCGAGUGUAGAGGUGAAAUUCGUAGAUAUUCGGAGGAACACCAGUGGCGAAGGCGGCUCACUGGACCAACACUGACACUGAGGCACGAAAGCGUGGGGAGCAAACAGGAUUAGAGACCCCGGUAGUCCCUGUCUCUUAUAC